AUGGCUGUCGUCAGCUCGUGCCGUGAGGUGUUAGGUUAAGUCCUGUACGAGCGCAACCCUCGUUGCCAGUGUUUUCUCUGGCGAGACUGCCCCACGAAAUGGGGAGGAAGGUGGGGAUGACGUCAAGUCAGCAUGGCCCUUAUGUCUUGGGCUACACACACGCUACAAUGGGUGGUACAAUGGGUAGCAAUAGAGUGAUCUGGAGCCAAUCCACAAAACCAAUCCUCAGUCCGGAUUGCAGGCUGAAACCCGCCCUGCAUGAAGUUGGAGUUGCUAGUAACCGCAGGUCAGCACACUGCGGUGAAUACGUUCUCGGGCCUU
rnacentral:rRNA from 1 species